rnacentral:rRNA from 1 species
UACGUAGGGGGCUAGCGUUGUCCGGAUUUAUUGGGCGUAAAGAGCGUGUAGGCGGCCAGGUAGGUCUGGUGUGAAAACUCGAGGCUUAACCUCGAGAUGUCAUCGGAAACCAUCUGGCUAGAGUCCGGAAGAGGAGAGUGGAAUUCCUGGUGUAGCGGUGAAAUGCGCAGAUAUCAGGAGGAACACCGAUUGCGAAGGCAGCUCGCUGGGACGUUACUGACGCUGAGACGCGAAAGCGUGGGGAGCAAACAGG